rnacentral:tRNA from 1 species
AGUGUAGCUCAGUGGUAGAGCAGCUGUUUCGUAAACAGCAGGUCGCCGGUUCAAUCCCGGCCACU